rnacentral:tRNA from 1 species
CGGUCUAAGGCGCUGGUUUAAGGCACCAGUCCCUUCGGGGGCGUGGGUUCGAAUCCCACUCUCGUCA